rnacentral:rRNA from 1 species
CAGCAGCCGCGGGAAUACGUAGGUGGCAAGCGUUGUCCGGAAUUAUUGGGCGUAAAGGGCUCGCAGGCGGUUUCUUAAGUCUGAUGUGAAAGCCCCCGGCUCAACCGGGGAGGGUCAUUGGAAACUGGGAAACUUGAGUGCAGAAGAGGAGAGUGGAAUUCCACGUGUAGCGGUGAAAUGCGUAGAGAUGUGGAGGAACACCAGUGGCGAAGGCGACUCUCUGGUCUGUAACUGACGCUGAGGAGCGAAAGCGUGGGGAGCGAACAGGAUUAGAUACCCCCGUGUGCCUGUCUCUUAUACA